rnacentral:rRNA from 1 species
UACGGGGGGGGCAAGCGUUGUUCGGAAUUACUGGGCGUAAAGGGCUCGUAGGCGGUUCGUUCAGUCAGACGUGAAAUUCCUGGGCUCAACCUGGGGGCUGCGUUUGAUACGGGCGGGCUUGAGUUCGGAAGAGGGUCGUGGAAUUCCCAGUGUAGAGGUGAAAUUCGUAGAUAUUGGGAAGAACACCGGUGGCGAAGGCGGCGACCUGGUCCGAUACUGACGCUGAGGCGCGAAAGCGUGGGGAGCAAACAGG